GCCUUGUUGGCUAAGUGGUAUAGCGUCUCACUAGUACUCUAGUGUCAUGAGAAGAUCGGCGGUUCGAUUCCGCCACGAGGCA
rfam:Glomerella graminicola M1.001 genomic scaffold supercont1.31, whole genome shotgun sequence.